rnacentral:rRNA from 1 species
AGCAAUCCCUGAAGUGGCGCACGGGUGCGUAACACGUAGAUAAUCUGCCCUUAGGCGGGGGAUAACGUUCCGAAAGGAGCGCUAAUACCGCAUACAGCAUUUGGUGGUUCGCCACUGGAUGGCAAAGGUUGGGACCCGCAAGGGCCAAUCGCCUGAGGAGGAGUCUGCGGCCCAUCAGCUAGUUGGUAAGGUAACGGCUUACCAAGGCAAAGACGGGUAGCUGGUCUGAGAGGAUGAUCAGCCACACUGGUACUGGAACACGGACCAGACUCCUACGGGAGGCAGCAGUGGGGAAUCUUGGUCAAUGGGCGCAAGCCUGAACCAGCGACGCCGCGUGAGUGAUGAAGGCCUUCGGGUUGUAAAGCUCUGUGGGGAGGGACGAAAGCCUGGGUUCUAACAGGACCUAGUUUGACGGUACCUCCUUAGCAAGCACCGGCUAACUCUGUGCCAGCAGCCGCGGUAAGACAGAGGGUGCAAACGUUGCUCGGAAUCACUGGGCGUAAAGGGCGUGUAGGCGGGAAGGUAAGUUCGGCCGUGAAAUCCCUGGGCUCAACCCAGGAACUGCACUCGAAACUACUUUUCUUGAGUGCCGGAGAGGAAAGCGGAAUUCCUGGUGUAGAGGUGAAAAUUCC